UAAACCGGAGGAAGGCGGGGAUGACGUCAAGUCCUCAUGGCCCUUACAUCCCGGGCUACACACGUGCUACAAUGGCAGGUACAGAGGGCUGCGAAGCCGCGAGGUGGAGCGAAUCCCAGAAACCUGUCUCAGUCCGGAUUGAAGUCUGCAACUCGACUUCAUGAAGGCGGAAUCGCUAGUAACCGCGAAUCAGCAGGUCGCGGUGAAUACGUUCCCGGGCCUU
rnacentral:rRNA from 1 species